UACGUAGGUGGCAAGCGUUGUCCGGAAUUAUUGGGCGUAAAGCGCGCGCAGGUGGUUUAAUAAGUCUGAUGUGAAAGCCCACGGCUCAACCGUGGAGGGUCAUUGGAAACUGUUAAACUUGAGUGCAGGAGAGAAAAGUGGAAUUCCUAGUGUAGCGGUGAAAUGCGUAGAGAUUAGGAGGAACACCAGUGGCGAAGGCGGCUUUUUGGCCUGUAACUGACACUGAGGCGCGAAAGCGUGGGGAGCAAAC
rnacentral:rRNA from 2 species